UGGGGAAUAUUGCGCAAUGGGCGAAAGCCUGACGCAGCGACGCCGCGUGAGGGAUGAAGGUUUUCGGAUCGUAAACCUCUGUCAGAAGGGAAGAAACCGCACUGUGCUAAUCAGCAGUGCCUUGCCGGUACCUUCAAAGGAAGCACCGGCUAACUCCGUGCCAGCAGCCGCGGUAAUACGGAGGGUGCAAGCGUUAAUCGGAAUUACUGGGCGUAAAGCGCACGUAGGCUGCUUUGUAAGUCAGGGGUGAAAUCCCACGGCUCAACCGUGGAACUGCCUUUGAUACUGCUUAGCUUGAAUCCGGGAGAGGGUGGCGGAAUUCCAGGUGUAGGAGUGAAAUCCGUAGAUAUCUGGAGGAACAUCAGUGGCGAAGGCGGCCACCUGGACCGGUAUUGACGCUGAGGUGCGAAAGCGUGGGGAGCAAACAGG
rnacentral:rRNA from 1 species